CAGUUUCUACCAGAUAUCGAGGGAGAUGGGAGACGGGCUCUCCCAAGAACGGACUCCCUGAAAUGUGAGCCAAAACUGCUGGCUGCUUCUGGGACCUAGUGAAGAACUGGCCAGGAAAGGUGUGGACUAUUCUGCCUAGCCUCGCUGUGUCGCUGACCAGAGCUUCCUAAGAUCAUUGGCAAAGAGAUAAAAAGAUCCUUGGAAAUAUAUCUACAUCCUCCUUUUUCUCUUAAUACCUUCCCUUCAAUGUGCAGUCCUCUUCUUUAGUGUUUCUGGACAUCUAUUACCCUCCCAAUAACACCUCAUUCACAAUAAAAGUGCUCAGGGAAGAAGCAAAAUAAAACCUUUGGAGGACAAAGUGGUGAUGGUUGUGUGGCAAUGCCCUGAACAAGAAUAACAGUUCUGGAAAAAAAAUGGGAAAGAAUUAAACUCACUCCGCAUGGUGAAGCAUCAUGGAUGAAUUGCAAUGGUAUCAAGACAUCAAAGCGUAUAACCAUUUCAACUGUUGUAAACAGGUUAUUUAAAUACACACUAACACUGUUUAGUCCAUUUUCCUGUUCUAGUUCUUAUUUAUUUAAUUUAUUUAUUUAAAUAUUUUACCCUGCCUUUCUAUUAAAAAUAUUC